CAUUAAAUAAGCAGGCUGCUGCUGCUGCACACCCAGGGCUGGUUGUAUAACGGGGCUUCACCUCAGCUGAACUUGACGCAUCUGGUUCAUCGGCGGCGAAGGACGCGCGGCGCGGCGCAGUCUGCAGGCUGUGUGUCCCCACUGAACCGAGCUGGAUGGCUGCGGAGAGACGCACACAGGGGGGGCGAAACACAACUCUGUCGUGGCCCGGUAGGCGCUCGCGGAGACUGUCUCACCCCAGCACAUUCAACAUGACGACUUUUUCUACUUCCCAGCCUACAAAUAUCGCUUUGUGCUUUUUUAUUUCCUGCUAUUUUGUGGCUCAGGGACAUAACAGAAGACGAGGUAGCGUUAAGAAGAUAUAAAGCCCGCGGACUUGGAGUUGGACACCCCGGAGGGAGAGACCAUCCAACUUGAACUCGGAGACCUGUCGGGCAAGUGAGGACACAAGUGAAACCAGAAGACCUCAGAUACUGCAGUGCAGAGAGGAUAUGUGGACAUACUGCGUGCAGCUACAGAGGGAUCCGGCACAAUGAACAGCGUAGAUUUCGGCGCUUUACCCUGGAUAGCCGAUGACCGUGGUGUGUGUGCCAGUUGCCUACAAAGUCUCAGUGGCCUCAUUAUUUGGACAUGACUUUAUUUUCCUGGGCAGACCUCAAUGUCAAGGCCAAGGAAACCUGAGAGGAGGUGAAGCCGACAGACCGCACAGCUACGUGAGGCUACAGAGAGGAGGUGACCUGUCAGGCAGAGGUGACAUCCAGGAAGUAUUCUGACAGCACUUUUUGAUUUGCAGCAAUUAAGACACAAGCUCAGUUUAUGACACAGGGUUAGAUGCACAGCUCACUCUGCUCUGCUCUCACCUCAGGUGGAUUCCCCUGUAAAUACACAAUGCUGUAAAACUUUAAAAGGGUUGUAAAACAAACUCAUUAUUAUCAUAAAUACAAUGAACCUUAUGUUUCAAAAUCAAAUGAAUUUGAAUGGAUGUCAUUUAGAAAGAUUAGAUUAGAUCGUUCAAUGAAAAAAAAAAUCAAUUUUUUUAAAUGUAUUUCUUUUUAAAUGUAGCAGCAAUUUAAUUUAUCCUCAUGUUCAUGCCAGCAGGGACACAUCACGUCCUGACAAAAUUACUGUGAUACAGAUGUGUGUUAAUGAAGCCAUAUUGUGUUUAGCUAAAAAGAGAAUUGGGUGAUUCAGGUUGAUUUUUUUAGGAAUAUAUAUAUGAUUUACUUCUGUGAAUCUAAACCCCAUAAAUAAUAAAUACAAUACAUAAACCCACACAUGUAUGACUGGAUAGAUAAAUUAGAAUAUUCUAUAGAAUAAAGCUAACAUUGGCCGAGGAAGUAAUGAUAGUAAGACAAGAGGGUAGUGUCAAUAAUAAACCUGCAAUAAAAAAACCUCUAUGAAAUUAAUAAAUGGAACAAAAACAAAUAGGUGACUACGAUUUUAAUUUUAAAAAAAUUACAUUAUUUUUCAGUUUCUUCAGAUACUUUGAAAGUUAUUAAAACUCUCCUUAUACCCAUGCGUAUUUAAAAUAAAAUAUAAUAUAAAUAUGAUAAUAUAUUACAAAACAUAUACAGUGAUAAUACAUGCGUAUGUAGGUUUAUUGUUGGCAACUUCAUCUCAACUCAAAGGCCCACUUUGUAGCUUUUUCUGAGCUUUUAGCUGUAGCUCAAAAAGAGAGUAGGUAUUUUUUUUUUUUAUUCCAUUAACUCAGUGGUUCUCAAACAUUUUCUGUCAGGCCCCCAUCAGAAGCCAAAAAAAAAAAAUGCAUGCCCACUCACCCCAUAAUUUUUUGUCAGUCAUUAACAAUAAUUGGGGGAACAACUAAUAAAAAGGUCUAUGUAGAAUUUUAGUGACAUAAAUCUCAGCAUGAUAGCACCAGCAAAGUUGGUUUUCCCCAAAUAAACAGUAUUCAUUCAAAUUUGUUUCACUCUUUAUUUUUCCCCUGGUCACCCACACACCACCUGCAGUUGCCAUCCCACAAUUUGAGAACAACUGCGGUAACUUUUGUAGAAGGGCUCUUGUGGUUUUUAGUUUGUGCUCCCACAGGUCGACCAUCGUCCGAAUGACAUGACAGACACCUGCAGGAGAUUAACUGUCCUUUGGGGUGAGGUAGUAGGUUGUAUAGUUUUAGGGUCAUUCCCAAGCUGUCAGAUGACUAUACAACUUACUGUCUUUCCUGAAGCGACUGUGAUGGCGGCAUCUUCAUCAUCAUCUGCUCUGUCACAAAGGAAAACACAACCUCACUCUGAUAUUAGAGAGAGAGGCAGAUGACUAGGUAAAUCACGAGUUUCAUCUCAGUACGAUAUUCUAUUGAUGUUUUGGACAGCGGCACAGUAUUGGCUGAUAACACAAAGUCUGUGAUGUCCUGCGAUUGAUGUGAGACGAUAUCAGUAAAUAUCCUCAUUGUCUUUGUCUUGGCUGCUAACCAUUGUCUGCCUGGCGCUGGGCCGCUGGCACUGUUUGAAUGUUUAGGAAGGAGGUGUCCUUGAAGGGAAAUGGUGACACAGACAUGCCAUGGGAAUUUUAAAAUAAAGGAGCACCUUAAAGAUGACGAGAUGUAUCGAUGUUUUAACUUUGCACUGGUGAUGUUGGAUCGUUGAUCACUGAAUCGUUAUAUCAAUGGUUGGAUUGUACGCUAUCUGUUUUGAUUACCUGACAUUCAUGAGUGUGUAUUUCUGAAAUAUCAAGUUUUUUUGUUUUGUUUUUUUCAUUAUUGAAGUGUAAGUUUAGGAGUCUGUUACUUUAAAAAGGUUUAUACUAAUUGCAGCUGCUUUAACAAAAUGUCACCAUUAGCAGAUAUUUGCUUGUUUUUACCUGUAUCCUUUUAUCUCCAGUGACAUCAUCACUGACACAUAUUGCCAUAACAGCAACACAGUAGCUCUGCCUUUAUUUACACAGUGACCGGAUGUGUACAGACCUUCAGAUCUUCUUCCUCCCCGCCUACGUGACUAAUGGUGUUCGUACAGGGUGAGGUAGUAGGUUGUGUGGUUUCAGGGUUGUGAUUUUACCCCAUCAGGAGCUAACUAUACAACCUACUGCCUUCCCUGGAGGGCAGCAAUACUUCACAGGAGCACACACACACACGAGCAUCUCUGUCACCUCUCUACUUAGGAAUAAACUGACAGACUCUGACUCACUGAGCAGCACAAAGAGCCGGCGUUUGAUAUCAAAGGUUUCUUUGGAUGGGUGAGUGAAGCCAAAUCACAGAAUGCUUUUCAUAACAGCAUUUAAUACUUCAGAGAUUUGCACCACGUACUAUAUAGAUAGAUAGCAUGCAACGUGCAGUUGGUUUUAGGAAUUUAAUUGUAAGCAUAGUAAAUGUUUUAACUUUGUACUGUUAUAUCAACAAAUAAAAAAGGAAAAAUUAAA